GUAUUUGAUGUGCUUUAAAAGCCAGCUGCUCUUCUUUACUUUGCAAUUCCAUCACUAGCAAAGGACCCUACAGUGAUUCUCUUGGACCACGGUGUCUGUGUCGGCUGCAGUACAGAGCAAAACUGAGAGAAACAUAAGAAUGGGAUGCAGAGAAUUCACUACCGUGCUAAUCCCCAUGUAUUUUUUAAAAUGCCUUUUUCUAAAUGUUCAUGAUGCAUAGCACAAAUGCGUGCAGAAAUAAGUGGAGCGUGGCUGUUCACAGCUCUCUUUAGGCAUCUGCAGUAGUCUGGGGAAUUAAGAAGAGAAAUGCAUGUGACCUCAGAUGGCAUUUUGGUUAAUGUGACACCAGGAUAAAAAUGUUACCCCCACAUGGUUCUUUCCUUAACAUGAUCACUUUGGGAGAA